rnacentral:rRNA from 1 species
AUUCCAGCUCCAAUAGCGUAUAUUAAAGUUGUUGCAGUUAAAAAGCUCGUAGUUGGAUUUCUGAAUGAAAUAUCCGGUCCGCUUGUCUUUGAUGAGUGUGUACUUUAGAUAUUUGGUUCAUUUUUUGUGAGGAAAUUUAUCUGUCAUUAAGUUGAUGGAUUUAUAGACUUGCAUCAUUUACUGUAAAAAAAUUAGAGUGUUUAAAACAGGCGUUUGCCCAUUGAAUACAUUAGCAUGGAAUAAUAAGAUAUGACUUUGGUGGUCUAUUUUGUUGGUUUGCACACCAGAGUAAUGAUUAAUAGGGACAGUUGGUGGUAUUCAUAUUUCAACGUCAGAGGUGAAAUUCUUAGAUCGUUGAAAGAUGAGCUUAGGCGAAAGCAUUUACCAUGGAUGUUUUCAUCG